GGCAUUGAAAAACUAAUUAAAAUUAACUAAAAACUUUUCUAAACCAUUUUAUUUAAAACACAUUUAGAUGCUAAUUAAUGAAACCAUCAAAGUUUACAACUAUUAAAAACCAUGAAAACCCAAUAAUCAUGCUCAUUCCUUAAUUCCCACAUCUAAACAUACUGAAUAAGAAUUUCAACUUCUACCAUUUUAAACUUAAAUCACUCACAUGCCGUUUGGCGAUACAUUAAAAAGAUCAUGAUUACCUUAGACUAUUAAAGAGAAAACAUUUCGAACACACAACCUAUCAUCAAGCAUGAAUAGUCAUCUUAUCUAAAGCUAAGGCUGAUUCACAACAAAUUUAACAUGCUAUCAUUUCAACAGUCCCGAAUUAAGUACAACUAAGAGAAUCCCAUUAUUCAAAACUGAAAUUAGAUAGAAUACACAAAGAUUCAUACGAUCUAAGGCAUAAAAAUAAAGAAAAAAUAUAAACAAAACUCAGCUAAGUCUGUUUCCAUGUAUUAACUUCUCAUUCUCAUCCUCAAAUGAAAUUUAGAUCAAAGAAAAGCUCAGAAACAUAUACCUGGAAUUCAAAAACAAAAAGGAAAAUAGAGAGUUAGCAGCAAAACAGUAGCAAUCCAGCACCAGCAAAUGAGUCAAACAACAAAAUUAAUUCGAGAAACCCAAUGAAACAUUAACUAUUCAAAGGAAAUCCACCCUAAACUCUCAUGAAAAACCAAGUUUACUCCAUUUUUACCUCCAAGCAAAUAAGAAAUGGGUUCAGAAGUUGAGAAACCCCAAAGAUUAUAGAAAAUCAAUUCAAUGGAACAAUAAAUUUUGAAGUUCUCAGCCGUUCCUAGUUUUAUGAUUUAUCUCUCAAUUAUUUUUCUGCCUUGAAAUGCAAGAAAGUAUGCCUUUAUAGGCAAGAAAGAAGGGCAGCUUUUAGGAAUUAGUAGUUACCCCUUUAGUCCCUUUCCAAUUUUGUUUUUUAACUCACAAAUCCCUAGCUAGUUUUCCUUUUUGCUUAACUACCCUUUUUCAGCUAUAAGAAUUUCCUAUUAAAUUCCCACCACAGCUUCUAGGAAGCUUCCUAAUUAGUUACCAAAAGAUUCCCUAUCCCAAACUACCUAAAUUAUCCCUCAAUCCCCUAAAUAUUACUACUGAAACCAAAACCUAAAACGGGUCAAAAUUUACCCAAAACUAAAUUGAAUCCAAGCCCAACCCCAAACCAGUGAGCCAGUAAAGGCAGCCCAAACCAAAAGAAAUCUCAAAUUCUGAACACAAUAGAACUCCACCAAGCAGACCAAUUUAUUGAAUUCAGUAGAAACAAAAGGAAUUUUCUGAGAAGUUUGAAAAAUAAUUUUUAGCAAAUAAAUGGCUAAUUAACUUUAUACUACCAUAGCUAAUCUGUUUUAAUGAUUUAGAAUGAAACUAAGGCUAAGGAAGAGAUGAAAAUCAGAAAAACAUUAUCUGGAAUAAGCAGGGAAAGAAUAGGAGGGGGCUAUUUAGAACCUGAAGCAAAUGAAAAGGAGCCGGAACAAGACGAAUACCUCGACGGCCAAAAAAAAACUUGAUAGAUUGCAAGCGAUUCCGACUCGGCUUGAAACUAAUAUUAGCUGUGUAUUCCUCUUGAGAACAAAUGAGCAACACUCGUUUCGAAACCAGCCGUUCAACAUAACCCAAGGACUCGAAAGAGUCACUUCUCCUUUAAUAUUAGAUCUGAAAACAAUCCGAUUUGGCAAGGGUUUUGGGAAAAAUGGUGAUGGAGUAGGGUGCAGGAAGGGGUGAUGAUUGCAUGGCCCAUUUCUGGUGGUGGUUGGAGCUUUUCCCCGGUGACCAUGGCUGAACCGCUCAAGGGAGACGCUGUUUGGGUAGGGGAGAUGAGAGACAUGAUUGAUUUAGUCUUAGGUUUAAUUGAGGAAAUUCGAAAAAUCUUAUGCAAAUGGGAGAAGUGGGGAUAAGCAUUGGAUGAGCUGAGAUAGAGGGCCGGGAUUGAUUGCUACUUUAGAAGCUCAAAAC
rnacentral:lncRNA from 1 species